rnacentral:rRNA from 1 species
UACGUAGGGGGCAAGCGUUAUCCGGAUUCACUGGGUGUAAAGGGAGCAUAGACGGCCAUGCAAGCCAGGGGUGAAAGCCCGGGGCCCAACCCCGGGACUGCCCUUGGAACUGCAUGGCUGGAGUGCGGGAGGGGCAGGCGGAAUUCCUGGUGUAGCGGUGAAAUGCGUAGAUAUCAGGAGGAACACCGGCGGCGAAGGCGGCCUGCUGGACCGCGACUGACGUUGGGGCUCGAAAGCGUGGGGAGCGAACAGG